rnacentral:lncRNA from 1 species
GUCAUCAAAAGUCUGUCUUGUACCAACACCCGGAGCCGUGCAUUCCUCUGGCACCAACACUCCACUGUUUUUAAAGCCGGGGCUGGGAGCUGGCAUUUACUUCGGCUCCCAAAUCAAAGGCGGCUAUUCAUUCCCGAGAGCUGCCUGGAUGUCCGUCUGCAUCCGGCCUCUUCAUUUAGAUGCUGUGCGCUGCCCCGGGAGCCGGGCUGGGUGCAGCUGAGCCGAGCCCAGCGCCGAGACUCUCUGCCCUGCUCCUCCUCCUCCUCCUCCUCCUCCUCCUCCUCCUCCUCCUCCGGCUCCUCGCGCCCUCCCCACCCCAAGGGCUCCCGCUCCGUUUGCUGCAUUCCCGGAGCAGCUGGCGGCUGCGGGCGGCCGGCGUGCGGGCGAGCCUGCCCCUGCCAGGCUGAGCGGGCAGUGCCGGGGCCACAGCGGCAACGGCCGAAGGUAGGUCCCCUGCCGGCCAGGCCGGCAACUUCUCCGCAGCGGGGGCACUGCGGGCCCCCCCUCCCCGCCCAGCAGCCGCCCACCUGCCCAACUCCUGCGGCGGCCGGUCCGGCGCUCCGCCCUCCUCCCGCUGGCGCCUCUGCGGUCGCCUUCACUUUGCUCCCACGGGACAGAGCGGCCCUUUGUACCGGCGCCGACUGCGCGGAGUUGGGCCGGCGCCUUCUCCGGCCCGUCCGCCGUCCGAGUCGGGCAUCGGACCCUCGGCGCUGGGGGCCGGUGGCGCCGAGCCCUUGCCCUGCCCUCCCCCGUCUCCCCACGACCCCUCUAGUCACCUGGGCUGGGAACGAGCCAGCAGGGAUUGGCCAGCGUCAGGAGCUGGGGGGCCAGGCGGGCAGGUGGGGCUGCGACAGGCUCCCAACUCCGGUCCAGCGGGCAGUUGGGGGCCGGGGAUGCUGCCGGCCAGGGGAGCCCCUGGCUGUGGCCCGGAGGGGGAGCAGAGGUGAGGGAGCCGCCGAGUUCUCCCAGCUCUGGCUCACUUCCCUGGGCGGCCCCCCCUCCGCCCCUCCAGAGGCCCAAGGGGGCGGCUUCUCCGCUGGCGGGGGCAGAACCCCCCUUCCUGCGGGGCCCCUGCGCGGCUGCUCCGAGGGAAAAGCGCAACAGCAAACCGAAACCAAAGCCUCCGAGAGACCCCAACACUCCCCCUUCUGCUCCCCCGCCGCCCUGGGGGAAGGUGGGGAGUGGUCCUUGGCUGCUAACUUUUUCCCGGGAGAGGGGUGCUCUGCAGAUGCAGGCCUGCCGCCCUCGCCCCUCCGGCAGCGCCGUCGAACCGCCCUGUCCCCCCUCCUGGUCCCUGUUCCUGUCUUCUGCCAGGACGGGGUCUCUGCCAGCCCGGGGGCUCAUGCGCGGCCCAGGGUGGUGUGGCGGGCACCCUCCUGGCUGGGACCUGGCGGGAGCGUCUCGUGUCCUGGGCACCGUUGA